rnacentral:rRNA from 1 species
AGAGGGGUGCGAGCGUUAAUCGGGAAUCACUGGGCGUAAAGAGCACGUAGGUGGAUAAGCAAGUUGGAUGUGAAAGCCCUGGGGCUUUAACCUGGGGAAUGUCAUCCAAAACUGCUUAUCUAGAGUACAGUAGAGGAAAGCGGAAUUUCCGGUGUAGCGGUGAAAUGCGUAGAUAUCGGAAGGAACAUCAGUGGCGAAGGCGGCUCUCUGGACUGAUACUGACACUGAGGUGCGAAAGCGUGGGGAGCGAACAGGAUUAGAUACCCUGGUAGUCCACGACCGUAAACGAUGAGAACUAGCCGGUUCGGGGACCAAUGAGUCUUUAGUGGCGCAGCUAACGCGAUAAGUUCUCCGCCGUGGGGAGUACGGCCGCAAAGGUU